CCCUUAGAUGUCCGGGGCUGCACGCGCGCUACACUGAAGGAAUCAGCGUGCUAAAACCAUUGUCGAAAGGCAUUGGUAAACCCAUUAAAAUCCUACGUGAUUGGGAUCGGGAAUUACAAUUAUUUCCCUUGAACGAGGAAUUCCCAGUAAGUGUGGGUCAUAAGCUCGCGUUGAUUACGUCCCUGCCCUUUGUACACACCGCCCGUCGCUGCCCGGGACUGAGCCGUUUCGAGAAAAGCGGGGACUGCUGCUGUCGGGGCUUUCGGGCCUUGGCUUCGGUGGAAACCGCUUUAAUCGCAGUGGCUUGAACCGGGCAAAAGUCGUAACA
rnacentral:rRNA from 1 species